GGUGCACCCACAAGUACGAUCAAGAAUGCCGGGCCACAAAACAAGUUCAAAUAAUCCAAGAAAAUCCAAUUAUAAUGUAUCACACCACAUAUUUUGGCAAUCACACUUGCAAUCCAACAAAGAUUCCAAAACAUACAUACAAUAAUCAUGCUAUGGUAAAGCAUAGUGACUCAACAGUACUAAAAGAAGAAGAGGAAGAGGAAGAAUCCAAAGGACAAAGUGAUAAUGCAUCAUCAAUUGUGGAUUCUAAUUUAUGGCAAGAUUUUAUGCCUUCUUCUCCCUCUGCUCAUGAUUCCACUAUGGCUGCUAAUUAUAAUUCUUCUUAUUAUGAAGAAAUCAUAUCUAGUCAUGAUAUGGAAGAUUGGGCUAAAUUUGGUGAAAUUGAGGCCAUUGAGUUUUGUUGACAUAUUGUUAAUAGUAAUUUAGCCCUUAUGGGGUAUGGCUAAUGUUGUAGAAUAAAACCUUCGGCUAUGUUCUUGGUAUUACUUUUAAAUGAAAAAAAGGUAUAUAG
rnacentral:misc_RNA from 1 species